rnacentral:rRNA from 1 species
AACGAACGCUGGCGGCAUGCCUAACACAUGCAAGUCGAACGAGACCUUCGGGUCUAGUGGCGCACGGGUGCGUAACACGUGGGAAUCUGCCCUUUGCUUCGGAAUAACAGUUAGAAAUGACUGCUAAUACCGGAUGAUGUCGAAAGACCAAAGAUUUAUCGGCAAAGGAUGAGCCCGCGUAGGAUUAGGUAGUUGGUGGGGUAAAGGCCUACCAAGCCGACGAUCCUUAGCUGGUCUGAGAGGAUGAUCAGCCACACUGGGACUGAGACACGGCCCAGACUCCUACGAGAGGCAGCAGUGGGGAAUAUUGGACAAUGGGCGAAAGCCUGAUCCAGCAAUGCCGCGUGAGUGAUGAAGGCCUUAGGGUUGUAAAGCUCUUUUACCAGGGAUGAUAAUGACAGUACCUGGAGAAUAAGCUCCGGCUAACUCCGUG